rnacentral:lncRNA from 1 species
GUUUUCCAGAGACUUUGACAUCUUAUAUUUUCUAGCAAUGUUCCAAGUUAUGUUAAGAUGCAAACCCUGGAUAAAAUGGGAUUCAAAUCCAUGGCUUAGAGGUUUCCAGGGACUCUUUAAUAUUCUCAUAGAUUUUCUAAUCAGAGCCAAUAUUGUAACAAGUGGUCUGACUCAGAAGAGAACAGUAGCAUUCUAA